AGCAAGCUAAAGCCUAUCCUCUCUUCUUCUCCUCUCUUUUAUUCUUCAAGAAACCAAACUCCUUUCAUCAUCUUCAAGCUUAUGACUCCAUAGCAAGGACCUAUAUUGACGUUGGAAGUAUCAAUGAGUAUAGAGGUAAUGAUGAAAGGGCUGGGGAGCAAGGCAUUGCUGCAGAG